rnacentral:rRNA from 1 species
GUGGGGAAUAUUGGACAAUGGGGGGAACCCUGAUCCAGCCAUGCCGCGUGUGUGAAGAAGGCCUUUUGGUUGUAAAGCACUUUAAGCGAGGAGGAGGCUACCGAGAUUAAUACUCUUGGAUAGUGGACGUUACUCGCAGAAUAAGCACCGGCUAACUCUGUGCCAGCAGCCGCGGUAAUACAGAGGGUGCAAGCGUUAAUCGGAUUUACUGGGCGUAAAGCGCGCGUAGGUGGCCAAUUAAGUCAAAUGUGAAAUCCCCGAGAUUAACUUGGGAAUUGCAUUCGAUACUGGUUGGCUAGAGUAUGGGAGAGGAUGGUAGAAUUCCAGGUGUAGCGGUGAAAUGCGUAGAGAUCUGGAGGAAUACCGAUGGCGAAGGCAGCCAUCUGGCCUAAUACUGACACUGAGGUGCGAAAGCAUGGGGAGCAAACAGGAUUAGAAACCCGUGUAGUCC